GACCUGGUCGGGCGGUCUUGCCUCAAGGUAAGCACUGCUCUUGGUCGGGUCUUUCCUUCUGGGGAACCAGCGUGCGCUUAAUUGAGUGCGCUGGGGAUCCAGGACUUUUACUUUGAAAAAAUUAGAGUGUUUAAAGCAGGCAUACGCUUGAAUACAUUAGCAUGGAAUAAUAGAAUAGGA
rnacentral:rRNA from 1 species